rnacentral:rRNA from 1 species
GAUGAACGCUGGCGGCGUGCCUAAUACAUGCAAGUCGAGCGAACAGACGAGGAGCUUGCUCCCCUGACGUUAGCGGCGGACGGGUGAGUAACACGUGGAUAACCUACCUAUAAGACUGGGAUAACUUCGGGAAACCGGAGCUAAUACCGGAUAAUAUAUUGAACCGCAUGGUUCAAUAGUUAAAGACGGUUUUGCUGUCACUUAUAGAUGGAUCCGCGCCGCAUUAGCUAGUUGGUAAGGUAACGGCUUACCAAGGCAACGAUGCGUAGCCGACCUGAGAGGGUGAACGGCCACACUGGAACUGAGACACGGUCCAGACUCCUACGGGAGGCAGCAGUAGGGAAUCUUCCGCAAUGGGCGAAAGCCUGACGGAGCAACGCCGCGUGAGUGAUGAAGGUCUGCGGAUCGGAAAACUCUGUUAUUAGGGAAGAACAAAUGUGUAAGUAACUAUGCACGUCUUGACGGUACCUAAUCAGAAAGCCACGGCUAACUACGUG